GUCAGAGUUUUGUCAAAUAGAUUUAGAGCAAAUUUGACAUUUUAUGAAUUUGGGUUGUUAAGGGUGGAAAACCCUGGAACCGUCUGGUCCUCUCUUGUUCCCUCUUUAUCCUUCUGCCCGUCUGUUCUUUCUUCUGCCCGUUUUUUCUUCUUCCUCUUCUUACUACCACCAAUUGAAUCUGCAAUCUCUUUCCUCUACAAAACCCCUAAACUCAAGUCCACAUACAACCUAGUUCUUGAGCGAUUGGUCGGUCUAGAACCCGACUGUGUCCGACAAUUCCGAUGGAAAUCGGUGAUGCUGAGGAGAGAGGAUCUAUCUACUCUUCAUGUAUAGUUGAGGAAGCUGCGUUUUGGGAUGCUCGAAGAGGGAGAAGGCAGUUGGGUUAGCUUCACAGAUUUGGAUUGAGGGAUUCGAGAAAUUACCGGAGAGCAUAUACAACUACUAGGUUAGCUUCAAUCGACUGUGGACAAGGUCUGGGUCUGAAAUGAAUUUCAGUUGCGGGAGGCAGCAAGAGCAUAUCAAUUUCCAGUUUUGGAAAUAAAUAGUGGGAACCGAGAGUUGGUUGUGGAGGAAGGCAGCUAUGGUCAACUUGGAAGAGAAGACUUGCUUAGUAAUGGACGGAGGAGUCAAUUCAAAAGAAAGAUCGAUGAAAGGAAAUUUCGAAGCCCUUUGACCCGGGGAAUCUUAGCUUAACAGCUGACGUUAUCGAAUCACUAUUGCAGGUUAGCUUAGAAGGGGUCGAGCGUACAAGGAGUUGAGGCAUAGUCAAUAACACAGCUUUCGCUUGCUCUUUUAUCUAUGUUUUUCUUUCGUUAUUAGGUUUGCUCUGAUGACUAUUUGAGAUUGUUAUUGAUUGAUUAAGGUUUAUUGUGUUUUGGGUAUUGAUGUAGAAUUUGGAGCAGGGUGGCUCCAGGUGUUGCGGUUGGAUUAUUUGAUUAUGGAAGUAUAUUUGGAUUUGACAGGUAGGGUUGUCCAUUUUCAAGGGAGGUUAUACUAAAUUUCUGGUAACAUCUUCUUUGGAGGUGGUCCCUGUAGGGUUCAUUCCCUGAAAUCCGGGGUGGGUCGUGACAGCUCUAGAAUUCGGGUCGAACUCAUUUCGAACCCGCCCGUAGUAG